AGCGAACGCUGGCGGCAGGCUUAACACAUGCAAGUCGAACGGACCCUCCGGGCUUUGUGGCGGACGGGUGGUUGACACGUGGGAACGUGCCCUUAGGUUCGGUAUAGCUCCUGGUAACGGGUGUUAAUGCCGCAUGUGCCCAUCGGGGGUAAGAGCUAUCGCCUUUGGAGCGGGCUUGGUCUGAUUCGUUGGUUGGUGAGGUAACGGCUAAUCAUGGGGACGUUCAGUAGCUGGUGGGAGAGGAUGCCCAUCCGGACUGGGACUGAGGCACGGACCAGACUCCUACGGGAGGCAGCAGUGGGGAAUCUUGCGCGAUGAGCGAAAGCCUGACGCAGCCAUGCCGCGUGAAUGAUGAAGGGCUUAGGAUUGUAAAAUUCUUUCACCGGAGGCGAUAAUGACGGUACCCGGAGAAGAAGCCCCGGCUAACUACGUG
rnacentral:rRNA from 1 species